GCUGUACGUCAUUACGACGGUCGGAUCCGGAUCAGACGGCUGAGGUUGUACCAAUCAGCUGUGCUAACAGCAGCACCCUGCGCUUGCUCUACCGGAGUAGCGCAACUCCGCAAGCAAAACCUAUCUCCAAGCCUCCAAUCUGUGAACGGUGAAAACCCCAAUCGAAUGACGCCGACGGCGAGCCUCCUCCUCCCGGCUCCCCCAUUCGUCUCUAUCUCCGAUGUGCGCCGCCUCCAGCUCCCCCCGCGCAGCGGCCACCGGCCUCGCCCUGCUGGAAGGGCUUGGAGUGCGGCUCCGUACAGACGCGGAUGG
rnacentral:lncRNA from 7 species